GACGAACGCUGGCGGCGCGCUUAACACAUGCAAGUCGAACGGAAAGGCCUGCUUUCCCUUGUGGACUGCGGGUACUCGAGUGGCGAACGGGCGAGUAACACGUGAGUGAUCUGCUCCCAACUUGGGUAUAAGCUUGGGAAACUGGGGCUAAUUCCCGACAGCACUGCAGGGUGGUGCCGGUGGUGGCGAACGAUUGUCUAGUGGUUGGGGCUGAGCUGGCGGCCUAUCAGCUUGUGGGUGGGGUAAUGGCCUACCAAGGCGGCGACGGGUAGCCGGCCAGGGGUGGUGGGCGGGAGAAUUGGGACUGAGAUACGGCCAAGGCGCCUACGGGAAGCAGCAGUGGGGAAGCAUGCGCGAUGGGCGGAGCACUGAGGCCGCGACGCCGAGUCAGCGAUGACGGGCUUGGGGUUGUGAACUCCGUUCGGCCACGAGGAAGCGCCCUGGUUGGAGGGGUGGUGACGGUAGUGGUAGAAGAAGCACCGGCUAACUACGUG
rnacentral:rRNA from 1 species